CAUAGAAACUGCUCCAUACUUGAUACCUAUUAUCGUUACAACCAUCUUUAAUAUCAGGUUCUUGUAAAUAACAAUGGAAUUGGUUGGCUGUACUGUUUCAGAGUUUUGAAGGUAUGCCCUCCUGCUGUAUCUCAAUAAAUUACAAUUGUUCCACGGGAUAAAAAAGCUUCACAUCAAGAGGGACUUUGGGGUAGUAGUACCCCCUGGAGAUACAAUAAAUGCUGCUUGGGGAUGAAAUGAUGAGGCAUAGAUCCUAGUUUUCUAAGAAUCCUCCAAAAGAGUACUAUGGUCUUUGCACACAUGUCCUCUCAGCCCAGAACGCUCUGCCCCGACUCUCUGCGUCGUUGGUAUGCGUCCUUCAGGCUCCAGUUGAAAUGCAUGGCCUUGGAGAGCCCUUCCCUGCCUAUCUGAUCUCGAGAAAGAUUUUCCUUCCUUUCUUAUAUUCUUUCUUCCAGCAGUCUCUUCCGAUCAUUCAUAGCACUUAUCACCAUUUAUAAUAAUAUACAAUGUGUUAAAUCCUUUGCACUCAGUUAAUGAAUAUUUGGAAAGUGAUUAGAAUAGCAUCAGGUGCAUUGUGCUACGUAAGUGUUGAUUUAAACAGCAACUCACAUACUCUUCACAACAACUCUAUGUGGUAGUGCUAUUAAUACCCCCAUUUUACAGAUGAACAAACUAAGGAACAGAGAAGUUAAGCAACUUCUCUAAGAUAGCACAGUAGUGAGCAGCAGAGCCUAACUACAAACUCAGUCUGGCACCGAAGUCCAUAACCUAACUGUUCUCUAUAUUUCCUUUUGAUUCCAGGACCUGCAUGGUACUGUGUGCCUAACAGGUACAUUCAAUACAUAUUUGUUUAAUAAAUGAAGGAACAGUUCUAACGGGAAAAUAAAAGUUACCUGUAAUCCUACCACAUGUUUUGAGAUUCAUUCUAUAGAUAUUUCUUCUAAUAUGAAAAUAGACUUUUAAUCAAAAUCUUAACUUUUUGAAAUCAUUUUGAGGAGCAUAGAUUAGGUAUCAAUGUGCAAUAUAUUUAACCUUGUAUUCAUUAUUUUAAAAAAUUAUAAUUACAAGUCAAUGUUCUUCCUUUAGGCAGGGGGAGGAGGGCGGAGGAGAGAAGCAUAAGUCUUUGGUUAAGGGAGGAAGGGUUUUCCUAAAAUAUUCUGGCCCUUCUUAUCUCCAGGAGGAGGUUGCAAAACUUAAGUUUGAAAGUUUAGGGAAGGGCAGAGACGUUUCAGGGACAAGAUUAAAAACA
rnacentral:lncRNA from 1 species